UUGACCCUCUAGUUACGAACACUGAGAGGUGUGUGAAAUUUGUUUGGGCAAAACAAAAAGCCCAAUUCCUCAAACCCUUCGACCCGGGUCGCACAGGAACACCAAAUCAUCAAUUCCGAUUUGAAGCUUCUUCGCGCAGAUCUCGGGUUCUUCGUUAUGUUCUUCCUCUUCGAUUUCUCCUGUUCAUGUCAUCGCGUUCGUCAAUUCGUGCAUGGUUGAUGAAGAGAGUUGCGUUCCGUUAUGAUGAGGCCGACGAAGAAUUGUCGUUGUUGUUCGUGUGUUCCUGAUUUGAGGUGGCGAUGGUGAAUAUCAUUGAAUGGAGAUGAAGAUGUCAUGUUGAAAUAUGUUGCGACGAAAAUUGAAGAUGGAAUUGCGCAACAAAACGAAGAUGAAGGCUUCUCCAAAAUCAGUGAGCUUCUCUCGUUCCAAUCUUCUUCAAUUGUUUUACACCUGCUUCUUCUUGAAUCUUUGGUACGCUUCUGUUGUGGUUCAGAAAAUGGAGGAAGAUGAAGGUGAAACUGAAUGAAGGAUGUGAAGCAGAAUGAAGGAUGAAGAGUGAGGAAUUUCUAUUUGUGUAAAAAAUGAUCCCAUCCCUCUCAAUCACAGACAAUGUGACAUGACAACAAGACUUGGUUUUGGGCUAUCAUGUACAAAAUACAACAAUCCAAAAGUCAAGGAUCAAAUAAUGAAGAUUAAAGAUGGAACUAGGAUUAGGGUUAUAGGAAUUAGAACCUUAGGAAAAUUGGGUUGACUUUGGUCAAAGUUGACCAAAAAGUCAAAUGUGACCAAAGUCAACAUUUGAUCAACAUUUCCACCUUUUGUAAUUUUUCCAUUUUCGACACUUGUGAUGUAAUGAAUUGAAAUGGUACUUUGAAUGAAACGAAUAAUCUUGACAUGCUUUGAAAUGAAUAAGACAAUCUUGUAUGAACUA